rnacentral:rRNA from 1 species
GGCUCAGGAUGAACGCUAGCUACAGGCUUAACACAUGCAAGUCGUGGGGCAGCAUAUAGAUAGCUUGCUAUUAUGAUGGCGACCGGCGCACGGGUGAGUAACGCGUAUCCAACCUUCCCCAUAGUAGGGUAUAGCCCGGCGAAAGUCGGAUUAAUCCCCUAUGUUGUUUGAAGCGGACAUCUAAUUCAAACCAAAGAUUCAUCGCUAUGGGAUGGGGAUGCGUCUGAUUAGGUUGCAGGCGGGGUAACGGCCCACCUGGCCGACGAUCAGUAGGGGUUCUGAGAGGAAGGUCCCCCACACUGGUACUGAGACACGGACCAGACUCCUACGGGAGGCAGCAGUGAGGAAUAUUGGUCAAUGGGCGCGAGCCUGAACCAGCCAAGUAGCGUGCAAGGAUGACGGCCCUACGGGUUGUAAACUGCUUUUAUGCGGGGAUAAAGUGCGGCACGUGUGCCGUUUUGCAGGUACCGCAUGAAUAAGGACCGGCUAAUUCCGUGCCAGCCGCAGC